rnacentral:rRNA from 1 species
AUGGUUUCAAGGUCGUGCCAGCUACGCUCUUACCAAAGAAGAGAAGGUCAUUUUUUUUUUGAAUGCCUGAGCAGUAUGAAGGUCCCGUCUGGCUUCUCGUCGAAUAUAAAGGGAAUAAUAAACAUGGCGGAGAAAAAGUUCCAAAACCUGAAGUCUCACGACUGCCACGUGAUUAUGACGCAAUUGCUUCCGAUUGCUUUGAGGGGGCUCCUACCGGAAAAAGUUCGAGUAGCCAUUGUGAAGCUAUGUGCAUUCCUCAAUGCAAUCUCUCAGAAGGUAAUCAAUCCAGAAGAUCUACCACGGUUACAGAAUGAUGUGGUCCAAUGCCUUGUCAGUUUCGAGUUGGUGUUCCCACCAUCCUUCUUCGAUAUUAUGACGCACCUCCUGCUCCACCUAGUCGAAGAGAUUUCCAUUCUCGGUCCUAUAUUUCUACACAAUAUGUUCCCCUUUGAGAGGUUCAUGGGAGUAUUAAAGAAAUAUGUUCGUAACCGUGCUAGGCCAGAAGGAAGCAUCGUCAAGGGCUAUGGAAAUGAGGAGAUGAAGCAAUUUCUUUGUGAUUUGUUCAAGCAAGAGGUGAAGAGGGGUUUGCCCUUUGCGUGCGUUCCAUUGUGGGCAUGUAAUGUGUCGUUCUGGAGAUCAGGCGGAUGCUGGCCCCUGAUUUUCUGGAGGGGUUUGUUGUCCAGGACGAACCGGGUCAAAUGUUUAGCCCAACUCGUUUAG